rnacentral:rRNA from 1 species
AGUGAACGCUGGCGGUAGGCCUAACACAUGCAAGUCGAACGGCAGCACAGUAAGAGCUUGCUCUUACGGGUGGCGAGUGGCGGACGGGUGAGGAAUACAUCGGAAUCUACUUUUUCGUGGGGGAUAACGUAGGGAAACUUACGCUAAUACCGCAUACGACCUACGGGUGAAAGCAGGGGAUCUUCGGACCUUGCGCGAUUGAAUGAGCCGAUGUCGGAUUAGCUAGUUGGCGGGGUAAAGGCCCACCAAGGCGACGAUCCGUUGCUGGGCUGAGAGGAUGAUCAGCCACACUGGAACUGAGACACGGUCCAGACUCCUACGGGAGGCAGCAGUGGGGAAUAUUGGACAAUGGGCGCAAGCCUGAUCCAGCCAUACCGCGUGGGUGAAGAAGGCCUUCGGGUUGUAAAGCCCUUUUGUUGGGAAAGAAAAGCAGCAGGUUAAUACCCCGCUGUUCUGACGGUACCCAAAGAAUAAGCACCGGCUAACUUCGUG